rnacentral:rRNA from 1 species
GACGAACGCUGGCGGCGUGCUUAACACAUGCAAGUCGUACGGUAAGGCCCUUUCGGGGGUCCACGAGUGGCGAACGGGUGAGUAACACGUGAGUAACCUGCCCACAACUUUGGGAUAACGCUAGGAAACUGGUGCUAAUACUGGAUAUGUGCCCCUGCUGCAUGGUGGGGGUUGGAAAGCUCCGGCGGUUGUGGAUGGACUCGCGGCCUAUCAGCUUGUUGGUGGGGUAGUGGCCUACCAAGGCGGCGACGGGUAGCCGGCCUGAGAGGGUGACCGGCCAAAUUGGGACUGAGAUACGGCCCAGACUCCUACGGGAGGCAGCAGUGGGGAAUAUUGCACAAUGGGCGCAAGCCUGAUGCAGCAACGCCGCGUGCGGGAUGACGGCCUUCGGGUUGUAAACCGCUUUCAGCAGGGACGAAGCUUUUUGUGACGGUACCUGCAGAAGAAGCACCGGCUAACUACGUG